UUCUUAUUGAAAUUAUAAUAAGUAAAACCUGCUCAAUGUAAAAUAAAUAGCCGCAGAAUUUUUACUGUGCUAAGGUAGCAUAAUCACUAGCCUUUUAAUUAAAGGCCUGUAUGAAAGGUUAAACAUUUAAAUAACUCUUUCUAUUUUAAGUAUAAAAUUAUACUAAGUAUAAAAAUAUACUUAUAAUAUAAUUAGACGACAAGACCCUAUUGAACUUUACUUAAGUUUAGCUGGGGCAGCUAAUUAAUAAUUAUUUUAAGUUAAAUUAUUAAAUUCAAGAUCCAAUCUAAUUGAUAAAAGGAACAAGUUACCAUAGGGAUAACAGCGUAAUUUUUUUCUAAAGUUCUUAUUAAAAAAAAAGAUUGCGACCUCGAUGUUGAAUUAAUAUACCUUAUAAACGCAAUAGUAUAUAAUAGGAGGUCUGUUCGACCUUUAAAAUAUUAC
rnacentral:rRNA from 1 species